CCAGAAUCAGCAAAAGAUAUAAUAGUAAAAGAUACAUCCUAUAGUAAAGGCAGGCUGCGGGCCACCAGCCAGCAGCGCCGCCUAAAUUCGCGAAAGCCGUCUGCUAGCAACCCACGUAUGUAAGCAAAAGUAGCGGAAGCUAAGUACGCGGCUUAUCUUUACGACGCAAAGGCGACUGAUAGUCUUAUGAUAUUAGCUGAAAAUUGCCGAGAACCUUCAGUUUGCAUAGUCUCUGGGGUCAGUACGAUAUCUGCGCCUUUGAAUAUGAGGUAACUACGCACCGCACGUUCGAGCCGUCGAAGGUAAAAUGCUUAGCUACCAAGCAUGCAUAUUACAUCAACCUUAGAGGGAUGAAGCUCAUAUAUUAUCAAUAGAUUGCAGAAGACACCUUCCGAUUAAAAAGGGUUGUUACGAACGCGAGAAGCGGCCAGAGCCCAUUACGUAACCGACUGACUGAUUGUGCAGAUGGGAUACCAUCUGUGCAAUUUAGAUCGUCUGCCUAGGCUGAGAAGUAGCUGUUUACCUAGAAAUUGUAUCGCUUUGAAUUGCUGCUCAAGAUGACCGAGUGCUCGUGCGCUGGUACUCCGACUACGGGCAUCGCGUUCACUAGCGGAGGGUCGUCGCACACUGUUACGGGUCGGCUGAGUCAUUCGCCCCUAUGCUGAUGUUUCCUUGGAAUUGAUACCGUAAGCGACAAGAAUUGAUAUUGUAAGGACUUGCCAAGCGUGAAUCUU
rnacentral:lncRNA from 1 species